rnacentral:rRNA from 1 species
AGCAGCCGCGGUAAUUCCAGCUCCAAUAGCGUAUAUUAAAGUUGUUGCAGUUAAAAAGCUCGUAGUUGAAUUUCGGGGUUCUACCAUUGAUCAGGCAAUAGUCUGUACUGGUGUGUGGAAUUUCUAUCUUCUGGGAAACCAUCAUGUUAUUAAUUUAGCGUGGUGGGAAACCAGGACCUUUACCUUAAAAAAUUAGAGUGUUCAAAGCAGGCUUACGUCUGAAUACAUUAGCAUGGAAUAAUAAAAUAGGACGGUGGUCCUGUUUUGUUGGUUUCUGAAUCACCGUAAUGAUUAAUAGGGAUAGUUGGAGGCAUUAGUAUUCAAUUGUCAGAGGUGAAAUUCUUGGAUUUAUUGAAGACUAACUUCUGCGAAAGCAUUUGCCAAGGAUGUUUUCAUUAAUCAAGAACGAAAGUUAGGGGAUCGAAGAUGAUCAGAUACCGUCGUAGUCUU